rnacentral:rRNA from 1 species
UACGUAGGGACCGAGCGAUGUCCGGAAUCAUUGGGCGUAAAGAGCGUGUAGGCGGCCACUUAAGUCCUGCGUGAAAUCUUGCGGCUCAACCGCAAGCGGUCGUGGGAAACUGGGUGGCUAGAGUGCGGGAGAGGAGAGUGGAAUUCCUGGUGUAGCGGUGGAAUGCGCAGAUAUCAGGAAGAACACCCGUGGCGAAGGCGGCUCUCUGGAACGCAACUGACGCUGAGACGCGAAAGCGUGGGGAGCAAACAGG